AAGGAAAUUCUGUAAAGCUCAGGAGGGAUAGCGCCAUAGAUGAUGAUAGGCGCGUUUAACUCAGCUCUUCCUUCCUUUCUCUCUCACCGUUUGUCUCUAAAUCAUCAUUAGCGCUAUCCAUCCUGAGUUUUAUCGGCUUUUCAU
rnacentral:pre_miRNA from 1 species